CUAACAUUUUUCAUAAGGGAUUGAUUUUAUUAGAAGAAUACAUAAUGUGUGUAAACUAAUUUAAUUAAAUGAUUAUCACUUCAGAACGUUAUUGACACUUACAAAAAAUGUUAUGACUGACUGAAAUACUGUUAUUACCAUCAUGCCGGGAAAUAUGUGACGGAAUACGUGUUAUUUUGAUUUUGUAUUCAUAAUGGUACGUGUGCUUAAAUGUUUGCUACACAUGUAGUUGGAAGAAGAUAUGUGAACCCUUGUGAAACGAAUAAUGUAAAUCAUGGAUUUUCUCUUCACUAUGUCGGCCCCCGGCUUGCGAUCAGAUCGUCCAAUUAAAUAUCGGCACGGUGACAUGGCAACAUUUUACAGUUUUGGCGGAAGAUUCUCUCACUCAACGAGUUCUUUCGAGAACCUUUUUGGCAUGAUCCUAUUAUAACACAACUUUCCAGUGUCGGGGGAUAUAAGCUAUCAUAAUGUUAUUGUAUGAUUUUGGUUAAUGUAUUAUUUCUUUGAAAACAUAACUAUGCAUUUGUUAUUUAAACUCAGCCUUGACAGUUAUUUUUGCCAAACUUAAACAAUAAAUUACUUCCAAAC